AGUGAACGCUGGCGGUAGGCCUAACACAUGCAAGUCGAACGGCAGCACAGUAAGAGCUUGCUCUUACGGGUGGCGAGUGGCGGACGGGUGAGGAAUACAUCGGAAUCUACUUUUUCGUGGGGGAUAACGUAGGGAAACUUACGCUAAUACCGCAUACGACCUACGGGUGAAAGCAGGGGAUCUUCGGCCCUUGCGCGAUUGAAUGAGCCGAUGUCGGAUUAGCUAGUUGGCGGGGUAAAGGCCCACCAAGGCGACGAUCCGUAGCUGGUCUGAGAGGAUGAUCGGCGACACGAGAGGGGGGCCACCGACAAGGGUCCUGCGAGACGGACCAGUCGGCUACGGGGGGCAGUGGGGGGGAGUAUGGCACAAUGGGCGCGAGCCUGUUGAAGAAGCCUUCCGUUCGGGAAGACGGCUUUCUGGUAGUGAACAGCAGCCGCCUGAGACGAAGCUGUUGUGACGGUACUGGAUAAAUAAGCACCGGCUAACUACGUG
rnacentral:rRNA from 1 species